ACAGUGAUUGUAAUUGCCACAGGCUCACAGAAAGGAUUAGGAUCCAGGUACAGAGGUCACAACAGAGAGGUAGAGCUAAGUAAAAUAAUGUAAAAAUUUUACAAAAAAUUUAAACCAAUAAAACAAAAACAAUAAACAAGGAAAUACAAGGAGCACAAAAACUAGACUCGGCUGACCAGCAGAGGAGAACAUGCAAGAACACACAGAGACCAUGCACUUCACUGAAGAAAAGCAGGAACUUAAAUACAAUGGGACACAUGCAGAAAAUCACUGAAAAUGAGCAGACAUGCAGAGUGAAUAAUCAAUUAUCCAAUUACAACCACAGUUAGCAGGCACGAGACACGAAACACAGGGAAUGCACAGGAAAACAGGAUGGCACAGGUUACCCCAGCUUGUCUGUGGGAUGUUUUCCCUAAGGGGAAGAACGACGGUGAACUGUUCUUUGCAAACUUCAAUGCCCUGGCUGACCCCUCAACAGCAAAAAAAAAAGGACAACAAUUCCACUGCAGAGCCAUAUAUGGCGCAAAGCAUCAUGUUGAAAGCUGAAGUCCGCCUGGAUUUAGAUGACUGCUUGGAAACUACUGCACCACGGAGAUGAGGGUUUUCAUCAACAGAAACUGAGGUGAUGUGUUUGACUCUGCCCACAGCUUUCUUAUGGCUAGGCCAGAACCCAUGACCAGUGCUGGGUGAGUUGACACAGGUCAGCAGGACAACAAAGACGAUCAUAAAAUGCAAGGCAGAACACUUGUGGCAUAUUUAUACAGGCACACAUGAAUACAAUACUAUAAUUUUAAAAAACUUGAUCAUAGGAUUGUGCAUUUUUGGAAAAGAACUGGUGUAGUAUUGUGUCUGGCAUUUUGGAAUUAAGCAUAUUCUGUGAAUAACAUGAGUGCACAUUUCUUCAUCAUCGUCUUCCUUACCUUUGGGAAGAUGUAUUAAGGAUGUUAAUGCAUUAAGAGGCCACUGUAUGUAUGUACAUAUGCAUGUGUGCGAGUGCACCUGUGUGUAUUGAUAGUCUAUGCUAGUCUGUCGAUAGUCAACGGCUUCCAUUUUUCCUUAAUCAGUUUCCGAAGUCUAAUUCAUUUCAUUCUCAGAAGAACUCAUCUGGAAUAUAAACAAUGAGAUAUAGCAUAUUCUGUGGUCAGCCAACAGUAGUGAAUACACAGUGUUCUGCGAUUUUCCCCUGGGAUGCUCAGACAGUAAUGAACCCAUAAUAGCACAGCAACAUUCCAUUUAAUUCGGGUACGAUUCCUGAGCGGAAUACUAAUGCCCCGGCAGAAGGCCACUUCAUCUUAAGCACCCCCGGCAAGGCACAAUAGGAGAGCUGCGGCAUUGGAGGUGUGAGCUUAGAGGUUCAGUUGUGACUGUACUGUCCACGCUGCGGAAAAUGAAAGUCCUCAUUCUGAAAAGAAAAAUAUAAGCAACAAGUGAAAACAAUGUAGAUUUAUGAAACACAAAAGGCAGGUCCAAAAAAACCUACCUACAUUUUUCUUCCUUGUUUCACUGCACGUUGACUGCUGAAAGACAGUCAUCCUCAUUGAGCCAUAGCUUCAAACGUAGCACUUACUGCUUUCCACAUAUAUUUCCUCAAUGGUAGGACAGUCUUUUAUGGUUGGUGCCAUACUCAUGGCCAAGGCUUCUGCCGUUAGCUUUGGUAACUGGGCAGAUGCAUGCUCUUAUUCUGCCACAAGCAAACUUUGAAAUAAUGGACAGUAAAUCUGCAGCAGAGCUUCUAAAACCAUUUUUUAACCUGCUUUGUUGGGACCCAGGAUUGGUGAUGACCCGCCUUUUGCCUUGACAGUGCAAUCGAAGGUAGAAGCAGGUGCUCGCUGAAGAGGUUAACCCAUAAAUUAAACCCUGGCAAUGACAACAGUGCUGCUCACCUCCCCUUUAUAUCCCUGCUUCUCUGGUUCAUUUUCAGCCUGAUGGGUUUUUGUGGUCAUUUGUUGGGCCUUCAUCUAUGUACAUAGAGGAUUCACAUACUGUAAGUGGCACUUGCUCUGCGUUACAACAGC